UAUAGUGAUUUUUCAGAUUCAAACGUAAAAAUGAUAUAAUUCUUUAAAAAAAAUCAAAAUACUAAAUUAUUUUAUAUAUUCUUGAAGCAUUGUCCUUAUAAAAUUACAUAAUGCAGUAAUAAAAUUAUUAUACAUGUAUGUUUACUCCAUCUCAUAGCUGAUCGGACAAGAAGUUAGAACAAUGGAGAUAAUUGUGGUGCUCUUCAUUCUCAUCGUUACAUCAAGUGUUGUUCAGGGUUGCAUGACUUGGAAUGAGACGGAAAUGUCGCAAACAGUGGCAAAAAUAAAUCAGAUCACGGAGAGUUUUAUGGUUUUUCCAAAAAGGAUUAUGUAUGUGCAUAAGGAGAAAAACACUUGUUCUGGGUAUGAAAAGACAAACUGUGAUUGACGCUCAUGUAUUUUAAUUGAUAAAUAAUCAUGAAAUGCGUAUUAAUAAUUAAAUCACUUUAGUUUAUAUUAGUUUGUUUGUGUGA